UACGAAGGGGGCUAGCGUUGCUCGGAAUUACUGGGCGUAAAGGGUCUGUAGGUGGCCAACUAAGUCAGACGUGAAAUCCCUCAGCUUAACUGGGGAACUGCGUCUGAUACUGGAUGGCUCGAGUGUGGGAGAGGAAUGCGGAAUUCCAGGUGUAGCGGUGAAAUGCGUAGAUAUCUGGAGGAACACCGGUGGCGAAGGCGGCAUUCUGGACCAUAACUGACACUGAGGAGCGAAAGCUAGGGGAGCAAACGGG
rnacentral:rRNA from 1 species